rnacentral:rRNA from 1 species
GCGGAGGAUCAUUACUGAAUUGUCAAACGGGUUGUUGCUGGCCCUCAUAGGGGGCAUGUGCACGCUCUGUUUACACAUCCACUCACACCUGUGCACCCUCUGUAGUUCUAUGGUCUGGGGGACCCUGUCUUCCUUCUGUGGUUCUACGUCUUUACACACACACUGUAANAAAGUUUUAUGGAAUGUACAUCGCGUCUAACGCAAUACAAUACAACUUUCAGCAACGGAUCUCUUGGCUCUCGCAUCGAUGAAGAACGCAGCGAAAUGCGAUAAGUAAUGUGAAUUGCAGAAUUCAGUGAAUCAUCGAAUCUUUGAACGCACCUUGCGCCCCUUGGCUAUUCCGAGGGGCAUGCCUGUUUGAGUAUCAUGAACACCUCAACUCUCAUGGUUUNCCAUGAUGAGUUGGACUCUGGGGGUUUUGCUGGCCUGUGGUCGGCUCCUCUCAAAUUAAUCAGCCUCCCAGUGUUUGGUGGCAUCACGGGUGUGAUAAAUAUCUACGCUCGCUGUUGUCUGCCAGGUAACCUUUGGUCACAAAGGUUUGCUGGAGCUCACAGAUGUCUCUCCUCAGCGAGGACAGCUUUUUUAACGUUCGAUCUCAAAUCAGGUAGGACUACCCGCUGAACUUAAGCAUAUCAAUAAGC